CAGUAGCCACGGGAACACGGAGGGUGCAAGCGUUAAUCGGAAUUACUGGGCGUAAAGCGUGCGUAGGCGGUUCGUUAAGUCUGUUGUGAAAGCCCCCGGGCUCAACCUGGGAAUGGCAAUGGAUACUGGCGAGCGAGAGUGUGUCAGAGGAUGGUGGAAUUCCCGGUGUAGCGGUGAAAUGCGUAGAGAUCGGGAGGAACAUCAGUGGCGAAGGCGGCCAUCUGGGACAACACUGACGCUGAGGCACGAAAGCGUGGGGAGCAAACAGGAUUAGAUACCCCGGUAGUCCCUGUCUCUUAUU
rnacentral:rRNA from 1 species